UGCCGGAUACUGUGGCGUAGGAAUCGGCCGUCAGGCUCAUAACCUGAAGGCCGCAGGUUCAAAUCCUGCCCCGGCAACCA
rnacentral:tRNA from 1 species